rnacentral:tRNA from 1 species
GAGGAUAUAACUCAAACGGUGGAGCACAUGCUUAGCGUGCAGGAGGUCCUGGGUUCAACUCCCAGUAGCUCCU